ensembl:lncRNA
AUAUUAUCAUAUUAUGAUCAUGUGAUCACAUUAACCCGUGCAGUGUUGACAGAACCAGGCUAAUAUGGUCAUACUUUCUGGUUCUAGUAAGAACUCUAGCUGCUGCAUUUUGGACCAGCUGGAGUUUGUUUAUUAAGCAUGCAGAACAACCACCCAAUAAAGCCUUACAAUAAUCUAACCUUGAGGUCAUGAACGCAUGAAUUAACAUUUCUGCAUUUGACAUUGAUAUAUUUUUGAGCUGGAAAAAUGCAGUUUUACAAAUGCUAGAAAUGUGGCUUUCAAAAGAAAGAUUGCUAUCAAAUAGUACACCUGGGUUCCUAACUGAUAAAGAAGAACUGACAGAGCAGCCAUCAAGUGUUAGACGGUGUUCUAGGUUAUUACAUGCAGAGUUUUUAGGUCCUAUAAUCAACACUUCUAUUUUUUUUCAUAAUUUAGCAGUAAGAAAUUACUUGUUAUCUAUUAAACUGACUAUGCAUUCCUUUAGUUUUUAAAAUUGGUAUGUUUCGCCGGGCUAUGAAGAAAUACCAUCUUCAUGACCAUGAGCUCAGCAUCAUCAGCAUAACAGUGAAAGCUAACACCAUGUUUCCUGGUAAUAUCUCCCAAGGGUAACAUGUAAAGCGUGAAAAGUAAUCGCCCUAGUACUGAGCCUUGAGGUACUCCAUACUGCACUUCGGUAUGUGAUCGAUAUGAUACCUCUUCAUUCACUGCUACGAAUUGAUGUUGAUACAACAUUUUCUAGUCUAUUCAAAAGAAUGUUGUGGUCAAUAUUGUUGAAUGCAGCGCUAAGAUCCAGUAGCACUAAUAGAGAGAUACAAUCACUAUCCGAUGAUAAGAGCAGGUCAUUUGUAACUCUUAUGAGAGCAGUCUCAGUACUAUGAUUCGGUCUAAAUCCUGACUAGAAAUCCUCACAGAUACCAUUUUUCUCUAAGCAGGAAUAUAAUUGUGAGGAAACUACCUUUUCUAUUAUCUUGGACAGAAAAAGGAGAUUUGAGAUCAGUCUGUUAUUAACUAGUAAUUAACCAAGAUGUGUUUUUUAUUUUAUUUUAUUUUUUUAUUUUUUUUGAUGAGAGGCUUAAUAAUAGCCAGUUGAAGGUUUUGGGGACAUAUCCCAAUGACAAUGACAAAUUAAUAAUAGUCAGAAGAGGAUCUAUGACUCCUGGAAGCACCACUUUUAGGAGCUUAGAUGGAAUAGGGUCUAACAUACAUGUUGGUUUAGAUGAUUUAACAAGUUUAUACAGUUCUUCCUCUUGUAUAGUAGUUCCUUGUUCCUAUAGCACACUGAUGCGAUACUGUAGCUGACGGCUGCAUGGUUACAAUUUUAUCUCUAAUAGUAUUAAUCUUGGAAGUAAAGUAGUUCAUAAAGUCAUUACUGCUGUGCUGUUGGGAAAUGUCAACACCUGUUGAUGCUUUAUUUUUCAUUAAUUUUGAAUAAUUGAAUAAAUACCUGUGGUUAUGUUUGUUUUCUUCUAAAAGAGACGGAAAGUAAUCAGAUCUAUCAGUUUGUAAUGCUAUUCUGUAGGAUAGGGUUCUUUCCCACCAAGCAAUACGAAAUACCUCUAGUUUUGUUUUUCUCCAAAUGCGCUCCAUUUUCUGGGCCGCUCUCUUUAGUGUGUGAGUGGCUCAUUAUACCACGGUGUAAGGCUGUUCUCCUUAAUCUUCCUUAAGCAUAAAGGAGCAACCGUGUCUAAAAUGCUAGAAAAGAGAGA